rnacentral:rRNA from 1 species
GACGAACGCUGGCGGCGUGCUUAACACAUGCAAGUCGAACGGAAAGGCCCUGCUUUUGCGGGGUGCUCGAGUGGCGAACGGGUGAGUAACACGUGAGUAACCUGCCCUUGACUUUGGGAUAACUUCAGGAAACUGGGGCUAUUACCGGAUAGGAGCUCCUGCUGCAUGGUGGGGGUUGGAAAGUUUCGGCGGUUGGGGAUGGACUCGCGGCUUAUCAGCUUGUUGGUGGGGUAGUGGCUUACCAAGGCUUUGACGGGUAGCCGGCCUGAGAGGGUGACCGGCCACAUUGGGACUGAGAUACGGCCCAGACUCCUACGGGAGGCAGCAGUGGGGAAUAUUGCACAGUGGGCGGAAGCCUGAUGCAGCAACGCCGCGUGCGGGAUGACGGCCUUCGGGUUGUAAACCGCUUUCGCCUGUGACGAAGCGUGAGUGACGGUAAUGGGUAAAGAAGCACCGGCUAACUACGUG